rnacentral:rRNA from 1 species
UCGGAGUGCUUGCACUCUGUGAAACAAGAUACAGGCUAGCGGCGGACGGGUGAGUAACACGUGGGUAACCUGCCCAAGAGAUCGGGAUAACACCUGGAAACAGAUGCUAAUACCGGAUAACAACAGAUGAUGCCUAUCAACUGUUUAAAAGAUGGUUCCGCUAUCACUCUUGGAUGGACCUGCGGUGCAUUAGCUAGUUGGUAGGGUAACGGCCUACCAAGGCGAUGAUGCAUAGCCGAGUUGAGAGACUGAUCGGCCACAUUGGGACUGAGACACGGCCCAAACUCCUACGGGAGGCAGCAGUAGGGAAUCUUCCACAAUGGACGCAAGUCUGAUGGAGCAACGCCGCGUGAGUGAAGAAGGGUUUCGGCUCGUAAAGCUCUGUUGUUGGUGAAGAAGGACAGGGGUAGUAACUGACCUUUGUUUGACGGUAAUCAAUUAGAAAGUCACGGCUAACUACGUGCCAGCAGCCGCGGUAAUACGUAGGUGGCAAGCGUUGUCCGGAUUUAUUGGGCGUAAAGCGAGUGCAGGCGGCUCGAUAAGUCUGAUGUGAAAGCCUUCGGCUCAACCGGAGAAUUGCAUCAGAAACUGUCGAGCUUGAGUACAGAAGAGGAGAGUGGAACUCCAUGUGUAGCGGUGAAAUGCGUAGAUAUAUGGAAGAACACCGGUGGCGAAGGCGGCUCUCUGGUCUGUUACUGACGCUGAGGCUCGAAAGCAUGGGUAGCGAACA